rnacentral:lncRNA from 1 species
UAAACAACAUGUUGUAGCUGCAUAUUAAUUUUAAAAAAGGAGAAACAUCAAGUUGGAAAUACAAUCACAAGACACAUUUCUUGAACAAAUACCAAACAAUAGGAGAACAAAGCGCAGUCAACCCAUUUCAAAUGUUCUCUGGACAGCAAGGAUGAAGAAAAGCAUCUAUGAAAGCGUCUGUGAAUGCUAUGAACGCCUAGAGCGUUUGACUCCUGUAAUUAUUUCCUAAAUCAGGUAGAGUGCCUAUGUUAGCUAUAUUAACAGUUUAGAUAAAUGACCUGGAAAAAUAAAACACAACAGAGUAGCGUGUGCACCGAGGAGAAAAGGGAACCAACCAACUGAACGGUUUUGACGUUUUUAGAUUAAUUUAUAAUUUAUCUGUAACAAGAGUUGCCUGUAGCAGUAGUUCUUGCAAAUUGCAAGGUCAUCAAAGCUUUCACAUGCCCUUCCGAACAGCAGAUAAUUAAAGGCCUAUCUAAAGCAAACUCAAAACAUGACUUUUGCACGGAAAGGUGUCACUGGUUAGCAAAGCAUUGACAACAGGGUACACAGGGAGAGCUGAAAUGUCCCCAUUUCUGCUGGUACUGGGCUAAUGAAAACUACAAGUCUGUGUCUACAGAUGGCACUUGUUUGCAGACAUUCCAGGGUUUACCCUGGUCUGGAUACUACAUUUUUGUUAUUCUGGCUGAAGCUGGGCCUAAGUCAGACCAUUCUGGAGGAGGUACAUUUGAAGUGUGUUCUGUUCCCUGGAAUACAUUCAUGAGUAUGAACACAUCAUCAGAAUUCACACAGAGAAAAAGCCUGAGCCUGUUACCAUUGCCAGUGGCACACAGCACUAUUGCUGGAAAGUGACAGUAAGAAAAGACCUGUAUUAGGGUAAUUCAUUAGGGUCAUACUUGAUCACUUAUGGACCACAACAACUUUCUACAUCCUUUUAGUCACAUCGGUCACCUUGAAUAAAUAUGGUCACAUAAGAAAGAGUGCCUUUCCUCUUGUACGCUGACAUUUCAGUAGGACUUGCAAGGGCUGGAAAGUUAAGUUUAGCCAAGCUAUGCAAAGGUAUCGACCAAAGAAAUACAUGGGCAUCAUGUGAGUUUAACUUUGCCUUGCUAAUGUCCUACUGCAGACCUUUCGUCAGAUGGCUCCUUAGCUUAGUUUACAGUUUUGGCACUCAGUAGAUCACCGACGAAGUAUGACAGAAACCUCACAGUUUAUGAAAUCAUACAGUCAUCGUACUCAGUAGAAAUACAAUUUUUGGCUACUUUAACAGAUCCAG